GCUGGCUCCUGCCAGCCGGGAUCCCGGCUGCUGGACCCGUUCAGCUGCUGAUGGUCUGGGGUCCCGGCCCUGCCCACAUACAGUGGGUACCUACCUUCUACCUGGUUCUGGCCCAUUCUCUUCCUCUCUCUGCAAUGAGCUAAGGGUGGGAGUGGCACAGAGUACAGGGCUGGGGAUGAAGGGUCUGGCCAGGAGCUAGAAGGAGGGAGGGGGCUCAGGGUUGGGACAGGAGGUUUGGGUGUGGGGCAUUUAUCUGGGUAGUUCCCAUUUGGUGGGAGGGAUGCACGUGGGAA